AGCUAUAAGGAAUUUAUUUUUAGUAAAACCUGCCCAGUGAUUUUUUUUAACGGCCGCAGUACCAUGACUGUGCUAAGGUAGCAUAAUAAAUUGGCUUUUAAUUAGAGUCUGGAAUGAAUGGAUUUUUAAAGUUAAGCUGUCAUAAAAAUAUUAAUUUUAACUUAUUUAUUUGGUGAAAAUACCAAAAAUUUUUAAAAAAGACGAGAAGACCCUAAGAAUUUAUAUUUUUUUUAGUUGGGGCGACAAAAAGACAUUUUUAACUCUUUGUUUUAUUACUUAUAUAACGAAAUUUUUAAUAAUAAAUAAAUUACCUUAGGGAUAACAGCAUAAUUAGAUUUUUUUCUGUUUAUGACCUCGAUGUUGGAUUAGAAUCUUUUUUAGCUAGUCGCUAAAAAAUAAUGUUCUGUUCGAACAAAUAAUUUCU
rnacentral:rRNA from 1 species